rnacentral:lncRNA from 1 species
CUUAGGCAUCUCACUAGGCCUUCCUUUUCCUGCCUGAUCCUAUGCUUCAGCCACAGGCCCUCCCACUCCUGAUGGCUUUGGGCUAGUGGAGAGAGAUAUGAGGAACACUGGGAGCAGAAAGAUGCUGCUCACCCUGAAGCAGGUGCCAGGCUGUACCCUCUGCAUCACGCACGUCCACUUUGUCCUUCAGAACAUCCCCUCCUACUGUCUGUCCAGCGAUGCGCUUGCCUUUGGCACAUGAAGGGAUGGAGGCUUGAGUUGGUUCUGAGACUCACACAGACUCCUGGAGUUGGGGUAU